rnacentral:rRNA from 1 species
GAUGAACGCUGGCGGCGUGCCUAAUACAUGCAAGUCGAGCGAACGGACGAGAAGCUUGCUUCUCUGAUGUUAGCGGCGGACGGGUGAGUAACACGUGGAUAACCUACCUAUAAGACUGGGAUAACUUCGGGAAACCGGAGCUAAUACCGGAUAAUAUUUUGAACCGCAUGGUUCAAAAGUGAAAGACGGUCUUGCUGUCACUUAUAGAUGGAUCCGCGCUGCAUUAGCUAGUUGGUAAGGUAACGGCUUACCAAGGCAACGAUGCAUAGCCGACCUGAGAGGGUGAUCGGCCACACUGGAACUGAGACACGGUCCAGACUCCUACGGGAAGCAGCAGUAGGGAAUCUUCCGCAAUGGGCGAAAGCCUGACGGAGCAACGCCGCGUGAGUGAUGAAGGUCUUCGGAUCGUAAAACUCUGUUAUUAGGGAAGAACAUAUGUGUAAGUAACUGUGCACAUCUUGACGGUACCUAAUCAGAAAGCCACGGCUAACUACGUG